ACGUAGGGUGCGAGCGUUAAUCGGAAUUACUGGGCGUAAAGCGUGCGCAGGCGGCUCUUUAAGUCAGAUGUGAAAGCCCCGGGCUUAACCUGGGAACUGCGUUUGAAACUGGAGAGCUGGAGUGUGGCAGAGGAAGGUGGAAUUCCUGGUGUAGCAGUGAAAUGCGUAGAGAUCAGGAGGAACACCGAUGGCGAAGGCAGCCUUCUGGGCCAACACUGACGCUCAUGCACGAAAGCGUGGGGAGCAAACAGGAUUAGAUACCCUGGUAGUCCACGCCCUAAACGAUGUCGACUGGUUGUUGGGGGAGUUAAAUCCCUUAGUAACGAAGCUAACGCGUGAAGUCGACCGCCUGGGGAGUACGGCCGCAAGGUUG
rnacentral:rRNA from 1 species